AGCGAACGCUGGCGGCAGGCCUAACACAUGCAAGUCGAACGAACUCUUCGGAGUUAGUGGCGGACGGGGGAGGAACACGUGGGAACGGGCCUUUAGGUACGGAAUAACUCAGGGAAACUUGUGCUAAUACCGAAUGUGCCCUUCGGGGGAAAGAUUUAUCGCCUUUAGAGCGGCCCGCGUCUGAUUAGCUAGUUGGGGAGGUAAAGGCUCACCAAGGCGACGAUCAGUAGCUGGUCUGAGAGGAUGAUCAGCCACAUUGGGACUGCGACACGGCCCAAACUCCUACGCGAGGCAGCAGUGGGGAAUCUUGCGCAAUGGGCGAAAGCCUGACGCAGCCCUGCCGCGUGAAUGAUGAAGGUCUUAGGAUUGUAAAAUUCUUUCACCGGGGACGAUAAUGACGGUACCCGGAGAAGAAGCCCCGGCUAACUUCGUG
rnacentral:rRNA from 1 species